rnacentral:tRNA from 2 species
GGCGGAGUAGCUCAGUUGGUUAGAGCGGAGGAAUCAUAAUCCUUAGGUCGGGGGUUCAAAUCCCUCCUCCGCUACCA